UUCAUACCACUUUCUUUCCUAUUCCCUCUAAACCCUAGCCGACAACUUCAUCGUAUUCUUCGUUCUUCUUUGCUGAUCUGCCCUCUCAAUUCGAUGAUGAAGAUGAGCAUCAGUCUUGAUGUAAACGCCAUGGCGUCCAGGCAUGUUUCCUUCCUGAAUCUUGAAUUUGAUGUUUUUAUUUUUUUGAAUCUAAUUUCGUUUUUCUUGAAUCUGAUUUCUGGAACCCAACGAUGGCAACGAAGUCUUCCGUAUGUGUGAAGGCAGUAAUCAACGAUGGCGAUGGCGGCGCUGAGUGUUAACGUCGCUGACCCCUAAAUCACUAACGAAGUUCCAAGUUGGUGUUUUGGUUUCAGAUGGGGUUAGCGACGAUGACGUUUUAGCUUCCGGUGUAAGCUAGGUUUGCUAAUGCUGAUGACACUGCUGUAGAGAUAGCUGGAACAACUACUUUUUGGUUUGAAUGCAGGGACUUUAGAGAAUCAAUCCAAUGAAAUGAACAAUUCAAUGCUUUAGAAGGUGGGAUAGAGCUACUUCAACUUUUUUGGCUGUAUCUUUGCUUGAGCACAGCUAGAUGAUGGUCAAAUGAAGCUGCAAUCAAGAUUGAAGUCAGAUAUAUGAGUAUAUUUCUUGAUUGAUGAGGGUGUUUGGCUACUGGUGUAGAUAUAUUGUAUGAUUCGUGGUCCCCUGCUAUUACUGUGAGCUCUGUAUGCAUCAUCAUUCUCUCCAUGCUAUCAAGCUCUACUAAGAUAAGAUUGGCAAAGGUAAUUCGAAAAUUAAGAGAGGAAAUAAAGAAAGUGAGGCUUGAUUUACAAAGGGUUAUUUCCAGAUGGCUUCAUGAGAGAGAACAGAAAGUUAAAGUGGAGAAUGCUCUAGAGAAUCUUACGAAGGUUGAACACGAUGGCUUUAUUCAGUCAUAGCUACAUGAUCUCUUAAAGAAGAGUGAUUAUGGAGCAUAGUAAAUGCAAUUGCCCCAUUGAUACGUAAGUGAAACUGCAAUUGAACAUAAGAAAUAGUUAAAAUUUUGUUGUAAUAUGUUUUAGAUGAUUCCUUAUUUAAGUAUUUGUAUGUGUUGCUUCUCUAGGCCUGUUCGGAUACUAAAUAGCACAAACUUUGAAGGAUGUUCAUCUGUAUAUAUUGUGAUGUUUUUAUAUUUGAUAAGUAUUUUAAAAUUUUCAGACGCUGUUAACGUUUAAUUAAUAUACCUUAUUCGUCACGGAUUA